rnacentral:rRNA from 1 species
GACGAACGCUGGCGGCGUGCCUAAUACAUGCAAGUCGAACGCUUCUUUCUUCCCGAGUGCUUGCACUCAAUUGGAAAGAGGAGUGGCGGACGGGUGAGUAACACGUGGGUAACCUACCCAUCAGAGGGGGAUAACACUUGGAAACAGGUGCUAAUACCGCAUAACAGUUUAUGCCGCAUGGCAUAAGAGUGAAAGGCGCUUUCGGGUGUCGCUGAUGGAUGGACCCGCGGUGCAUUAGCUAGUUGGUGAGGUAACGGCUCACCAAGUCAACGAUGCAUAGCCAACCUGAGAGGGUGAUCGGCCACACUGGGACUGAGACACGGCCCAGACUCCUACGGGAGGCAGCAGUAGGGAAUCUUCGGCAAUGGACGAAAGUCUGACCGAGCAACGCCGCGUGAGUGAAGAAGGUUUUCGGAUCGUAAAACUCUGUUGUUAGAGAAGAACAAGGACGUUAGUAGCUGAACGUCCCCUGACGGUAUCUAACCAGAAAGCCACGGCUAACUACGUG